rnacentral:SRP_RNA from 1 species
GCAGGGCAUGGUGGUGCAUACCUGUAGUCCCAGCUACUCAGGAGGCUGAGAUAGAAGGAUUGCUUGAGCCCAGGAGUUCGAGGCUGCAGUGAGCUGUGAUCAUGUCACUGCGCUCUAGCCUGGGUGAUAGAGUGAGAUCCUGUCUCAA